GUACGUGGCCAAGUCACCCAGACUGCGCCUAAUCUUCUCAGAACUCAGAAGCUCAGCAGGGUUGAACUGAGAAGUGGCUCGGAUGGGUGACAACCACGCAUGACAGGUACUAUAGGUUAGUUUGGUGCUACAUUGU
rnacentral:rRNA from 1 species